AAAGAUAUCUUGGAAUUGACGAACUAAUCCUCAAACACGAAAAGGUGGACAUCAAUAAUUUAAACAAGAGCGGGCGAAACGCGCUGGAUUGCGCAAAGAACAACAAACAUGGACAAAGAGAGGGAAUUGCUAAUCGAUUAAAAGAAAAAGGCCAAAACAAAAUAUGAAUGCUUUCAUUCAUAGGGGGAAUAGAACUACUAAAAAAUCGCGUUUUCAAAUGCUGUUUUGUCCUAAAAUUAAGUAGUCUAUCGCUGGUGUGUAUAGCGUUAAUAGAAUAUUUCCUAGUGUUUAUACUAGUGGGUAGGCUAAGAAACUGACCUUAAUAACGGCAGUUGCGGUGUGUGUAAGGAUCAAUCUCAGGUUUCUGUUUUCUUACAGAAAGACAUCGUCCGACAGCAGGAGCAGAAGCCAUAAUCCAGAGGUGACGGGAGGUGAGCUGAAGACGCCGGAAGAAUAUUUCCUAGAUUGAAUUGUUAUCGUUAGUAUUAAUGAAAUGAAAGUAGGUGGUUU